rnacentral:rRNA from 1 species
GACGAACGCUGGCGGCGUGCUUAACACAUGCAAGUCGAGCGGUAAGGCCCUUUCGGGGUACGACGAGCGGCGAACGGGUGAGUAACACGUGGGUGGACCUCGCCCUCCAGCUCUGGGAGUAAGACCCGGGAAACCGUAGGGUCGUAAUACCGGAUAUGACUCCAUGACGCAUGUUGUGGGGUGGAAAGCCUUGUGCGGCUGAGGAUGGGCCCGGCGGCCUAUCAGCUCGUUGGUGGGGUGAUGGCCUACCAAGGCGACGACGGGUAGCCGGCCUGAGAGGGCGACCGGCCACACUGGGACUGAGACACGGCCCAGACUCCUACGGGAGGCAGCAGUGGGGAAUCUUGCGCAAUGGGCGAAAGCCUGACGCAGCGACGCCGCGUGAGGGAUGACGGCCU